rnacentral:rRNA from 1 species
UGCAAGUCGAACGCUUCUUUUCCCACCGGAGCUUGCUCCACCGGGAAAAGAGGAGUGGCGAACGGGUGAGUAACACGUGGGUAACCUGCCCAUCAGAAGGGGAUAACACUUGGAAACAGGUGCUAAUACCGUAUAACAAUCGAAACCGCAUGGUUUCGUUUUGAAAGGCGCUUUACGGUGCCGCUGAUGGAUGGACCCGCGGUGCAUUAGCUAGUUGGUGAGGUAACGGCUCACCAAGGCCACGAUGCAUAGCCGACCUGAGAGGGUGAUCGGCCACAUUGGGACUGAGACACGGCCCAAACUCCUACGGGAGGCAGCAGUAGGGAAUCUUCGGCAAUGGACGAAAGUCUGACCGAGCAACGCCGCGUGAGUGAAGAAGGUUUUCGGAUCGUAAAACUCUGUUGUUAGAGAAGAACAAGGGUGAGAGUAACUGUUCACCCCUUGACGGUAUCUAACCAGAAAGCCACGGCUAACUACGUGCCAGCAGCCGCGGUAAUACGUAGGUGGCAAGCGUUGUCCGGAUUUAUUGGGCGUAAAGCGAGCGCAGGCGGUUUCUUAAGUCUGAUGUGAAAGCCCCCGGCUCAACCGGGGAGGGUCAUUGGAAACUGGGAGACUUGAGUGCAGAAGAGGAGAGUGGAAUUCCAUGUGUAGCGGUGAAAUGCGUAGAUAUAUGGAGGAACACCAGUGGCGAAGGCGGCUCUCUGGUCUGUAACUGACGCUGAGGCUCGAAAGCGUGGGGAGCAAACAGGAUUAGAUACCCUGGUAGUCCACGCCGUAAACGAUGAGUGCUAAGUGUUGGAGGGUUUCCGCCCUUCAGUGCUGCAGCUAACGCAUUAAGCACUCCGCCUGGGGAGUACGACCGCAAGGUUGAAACUCAAAGGAAUUGACGGGGGCCCGCACAAGCGGUGGAGCAUGUGGUUUAAUUCGAAGCAACGCGAAGAACCUUACCAGGUCUUGACAUCCUUUGACCACUCUAGAGAUAGAGCUUCCCCUUCGGGGGCAAAGUGACAGGUGGUGCAUGGUUGUCGUCAGCUCGUGUCGUGAGAUGUUGGGUUAAGUCCCGCAACGAGCGCAACCCUUAUUGUUAGUUGCCAUCAUUUAGUUGGGCACUCUAGCAAGACUGCCGGUGACAAACCGGAGGAAGGUGGGGAUGACGUCAAAUCAUCAUGCCCCUUAUGACCUGGGCUACACACGUGCUACAAUGGGAAGUACAACGAGUCGCGAAGUCGCGAGGCUAAGCUAAUCUCUUAAAGCUUCUCUCAGUUCGGAUUGUAGGCUGCAACUCGCCUACAUGAAGCCGGAAUCGCUAGUAAUCGCGGAUCAGCACGCCGCGGUGAAUACGUUCCCGGGCCUUGUACACACCGCCCGUCACACCACGAGAGUUUGUAACACCCGAAGUCGGUGAGGUAACCUUUUUGGAGCC